rnacentral:lncRNA from 1 species
AUGACAUUUCCGAGUAAACUAUUGGACACAUUUUAUAAAAUUGAAAGCAAUAUUCAAACAUUUUUCAUGAUAUUUCUGUUAAUCAGAUGUAUCUUUAACUGUCCUGUGAAAUAAGAUAAGAUGAUUAUUCAGGACUACUGAGGAUUUUAAGAAAAUGUUACUAAUCGCAAAAUGUUGGUUAUAGAAUAUUCAGAGCAGAGUUUUCGCGGGGAUGCCGCUGGUAUAAUUUGUCAAGCGUGGCCGAAGGAAAGAGCGACGGCUUCGAGCGAGGAAAUUUAUGGGUCGCAACGUGUCGACGGAAACCUUAAAUUUUAACGUCCCUGUCGCGUACUCGGCCGGGCCCUGCCUUGCCUGUUAAGGACCUUGUGAAGGGGGAUUACGACUUGACUGCUACGAAGCGAGCGUGGAACACCGAGGGGUGGUCUCUCCUCUCUCUUCGUGGUGGGGGAGAAUCAGAGAAGUAUGGUGGUGGUUCUGUGGCAGGGAAGGGGGUGGCGUUGCGACGGUGCCACAGGAAAAGGUGUAGGGAAGAGGGUGGGUUAUGGGGUAUAACGCGACGAAGAACAUCCGAAUAAAAUAAUAAUAAACCGCGGAUACGUUUCAGCGCGCGUCGCUCCUUCUUCCGUCCUGAUGCUUCGCCUGUCUCUCUCUCUGCCUCGGUCUUUCCUGUUUCUGCGUCGCCUGAAAUAAAUGAGUCGGGUCUAACCGCUUGAAUCGAACGAGCAUAAUGAGUACAGACGGAUCGCCAGAGGUGUACGACGAUGAUGUAUUACGUCUAAAAUUGAAUCCUUAUUUUCUGUUUAAUAUCGAGAACAAAAGGAACAUUCAUUUAUUUAAUACAGUGAUACAUUCGAAGUUUACGAGUAUUUAAUGCGAACGAUUAUUUUUCUAUGAAUUGUCAGUUUUUUUAGAUUGCUUAUCGAAAUUUUCUUUGUAUUAAUAUGCCGCCAUCAUCGUUUAUUUGUAAAAAAAUGAUUAAGUUAAUUUAUACGAAACUGAAUAAUUCAUUCAUUUCGUCUGGCCGUUUUGUAAAUGCAAGACCACCGAGGCUGCCGCCGGUAGACUGACUACAUGCGAGUGAAACGCGACAUUUUAAGGCUUGCGUGACACGGAUCGAUAUAAUUUUCUGCAGUUUAGAUCGUUGCGAGAAGAGGUGGAUUCCAGGUACUUGGAAAAAGAAGGUCAACAACACCACGAAACAGCAAUGUUCACCAUGGAGCAAUUUGCAAAUGAAAAAAAAGGAUAAUAUUGCGAGAGGUUCAAAACACAUACAAUUAGCUUACUAGCUUAUCUUAAAUGUAAUUCAUUAGGGUUUAAUUCUGUAUAAGUUGAUUACAAAUGAUACCGACUUAUCAGUUAAAAGAUAGUCGGAGAAGAGAUGUCGUUAAACCGAAAGAAUCUUUUCUCUUUACGUACUAAUUUUAAUCUCGUUUCAACGAGGGGAUAUUGAAUGUGUUGAGGAAUACCCUAACAUGCUGUUGGAACAAGAAAUGACAUGUAUUGGACGUCAGAAGAAUACUUGAGUUAAGUAAUUUGCUUCGUAAUUCGCUAAAUUCAAUUAUGAACUAUUUUUAACGGAUCUACAUUUGAAAACGUUAUUAGAGGCAUGAUAAACAGUAGAAUAUAUCAUGUACAUUGACAAACGAAAAAUUAUAGAUACAUAUGUCUAUGGAGAAAUACCGAGUGCAGGACGAAGACAAACUUUUAUCUAUUAAAAAAUUUAAGUCUCAUCACUAUUUAUAAAUCUAUAAAAUUACGAAUUUUUUGAUGAUAAAAGAAUGUGAUUGGAUCAUAAAUGACUCAAAGGACGUAGCAGGGCUAAUACAGAAAGCCAUCCACGAACGUCUCGUCGAGUAACGGAGCCGGAGCGAUCGACCUCACAGUUCGAACGACUUGGUAUUCCUCGUGGUCGAAUCGUCGUGAGUCAUAGCGAUCACUCGGCGGAUUCGCAGAUCAUAUAUUUAUCGCGGCUGUACGAAAAGCCCGCUGAGAUGUUUCUUCUCAGGGACAAAUCAAUGGGGCUGGCGAGCCGGCGGUGGCCGUUUGAUGUCAAGAAAGAGCUCGACCCGCUCGGAUUCAGCUAUCUCGACGUCGUCGCCGACGGCGGCAUCCUACUGCGAUAACGCCAUUAUGCGAAUUCGCGAUUUGCAUAUUUCAGAAAGCGCUGCACAGGAAAGCAUAAACAACUCCGGCCGCUCCGCGCAACGAGAGCGCCGUGGCUUCCUCGUCAGAAGAGUUACACGCAUGGAAGAUUUACGGAGAAUCCAACGGUUUCCCUUUUCCCUUCCUUCUAUCCUUUUUCCUCCUUCUUCCGACUCGUCGUUUUCUUCGCUGUCUCACUUCUUCUUUUCUUUUUUUUAGGGAACCUCCUCUCGCACUUUGUAUUCAGGCAUAAAUGCAUGGCGACGCGAAAUGGGAAUUGGCUGAAUACCUCCAGACGAUCAUCUCGGGGACGGAGGAGGAAAAAACCGGUCCAACAGUUUUGCUAGACUGCAGCUCGCGGUUUUCGGGCCGAAUCCCGCGACCGAGGCUAAUCCUUGGAAGACCAUCUUUCGGCAUGCUGACUGAUGUGUCUCUCGAAAUAGACAGAAGAUCGUUUGUAUAUACACGAUUUUGUUAUUCAGCACGGUGUACCUUACUUCAGCAACUUUGCUGUCUGUAGUGUAUGGAGAAUACGGAAUGUCUUCUCUUUUCCUACCUUUUAUGUACCGUUUUAGAGUAACUACAUCUAGGAGUAUAUAGCAUAAUAGAGUUAUUUGAGUCACCUAAGCUUCAACGUCCUGAAAAUAUAUAGCUAUCGAGUUGUCAAUGUAUAUAAUAUACUUCACUGUUUUAUCAAACCAUUAAUUAGCAGUUAAAUAUGUAAUCCAUUUUCAAGUUUAAAAAUUGUUCAUGACCGAUUUUACUGAAUUACAUAGCGGAUUAUUUAGUUCGAUUCAAACAUCCUUCCGAGUCAAAUAACCCUGUCUAAAUGGUUCUAGCCAUUAAAUUGGAGAAAUUUAGAUCUUAAUUUAAUUAUGGAAGAUAAAUUCCAAUUCUUCACAAGAUAUAUACAAUUUAUCUUCGUAUUAUUAAUGUCGUAUGCAGAUAAUGGUUUAUCACGGAGAUUCUUCAUCUCCAUUCAGCAGUGCUGACAACCGAGCAGAACGGAGGGCACGAGACCACCAACAGACAAGGAUCGACCGCCGUAGAUCGCCUUUUCCGCGCAUUAUAAUGCUAACGGUCGCUUAUCAGGACAGCAUAAAACGUUUCAGCGCUAGUUUCGCCGCGAUAAGUGGCGGAGCGCGCGAAACCGCGCGCUCGCUUACAUAAGUAAUAUAAUUGAUUCGUUACAAGCGCUCCUACACGACAGAUAAGUUUAUCUGUGACGCGCAUCGACGAAACCGGUUAGAUAACGAGCGCCGCUACAUCAUAUAAUAAGCUUUAAUUAUUCGGAUAAUGAAGCUCGCCGUCCUCUUCUAAUGACAAAUAACAUCGGCUCAACCAUAAGCCACUGCAGCGAAACCAUCAUGUCGAAACUUCCGGAGGAAAAGUCACAUUGGCUUUCCUCGACGUUUCCUUCGACUCUACGGUGUUACGGCCCUUUUAAUCUGCCACUGUUUGUUUCACUUGUAAUUUCAAUCUGCUCCUAGUUUACACAUCGCCCAAGACACGAAAAGCUAUCAUAGAGAAAUGUAAUUUAUUUAUGAUAAGUUGAAAAUUAUAGUUGUGUACGUCAAGAUUUUGAGAAUCUGGAUCUAAUCAUGUACCUUAACUUUUAAAAGCAUCAAAUGUUUCAUAAUUAAUUAAGUUACAACUUUAUUCUUUGUCGCGAUACGUUUUCAUGACUUCGAAGAAUAUAAACGACUCUUGAAAAACGACUACUACGAAUGAUAUAAGAAGCUCAGAGGUACAGUGGUAACAGUGGUCCAUAAUUUUAAAUUGUACGUCUUCAGUUGCUUUUGUUUCAUCCUGUUCCAGUUUACCAGUUCGAAGAAUCCCGAACAACCUGUUAAACUGAUCGGGCAAAACCUGGAAGACGUUGAUCUUGGAUGAAAGAACAAGUCCCUGGUACCAACUUCCAUCUGGUGUCUUAACGAGCAAACAUUUUAAUAAACUCGUCACACCGGUGCACGGGCCAAGAUCGAGAGUCUUUCCAGAUCUCGAAUUUCAAUUUUCACGCGACACUCCGUAAAGUAUCCAGAGGCAAGAAGGAACGCGGCAGUAAGGAAUCGCUGAGAAAGAUCUCGACGAAGGAAAAAACGCGUUUGCCGUCAAAUACCAGCGAUCAGGCGGAAAGAAAGGAGGCUGGAUGAUGUACCGGUAGAUCCACGUUCCACGCCGGAUAUUUACGUGUAGCCCGAUGGCCGAACUCCUGUCGAACAUCGGGUUUUACAGCGUCGAGCAACGGCGUAUCGUUGGCCAUCAUCGAGGACCAAGGAUCCGGCGACUGGUUACACACAAGUAGAUGGAUGAAGGUGGCUGGAACAAGGUGGCGGUUGAUGGGUGUAAAUUCAAGAUACGAUCUUCUCCCUUCUGUGUCCCUUUCCAAGUGGAUUUACCGACUGCUGCGCGUUCUGUCCGCUUUACUCGGUUUUUAAUUAUCUCCGGGGUCCCUGAGACAAAGGCGUCGCCGCCGUCGUCAGCCAGGUAAACGUUUCUCUGUCUUACCUCCUUUGGCCAACGAGGACCGGGCAUGUCUGACGAACCUUCUGGAACUGGGACGUGACGUAUCGGCGCUGGAAAGCUGAAGAAUCCUGGCAAUGAAUCGAUUGAAUAUGUAAAUGGGCUUUUGAAUUGUUUGGAGGAAGUUCAGAAACGAAAAAUCGAGGAAGAUAAUUCUUACAUGGAUAAGAACUAACAGUCGUGUUUUAGAAGAUAUGCCACUGUAGUAUUCGAUGAGGAAUUUUAGAAGACGUAUGGAUUAUGGAACGCAAAGAUGAUUUAUCAACUCCUUGGUUCAAACAACGAUAUAAAUUUAAUUGUUAGAUCAGGUACUUGGUUUAUGAUUUAGAUUCCAUCAUGAAGUUGGCGAAUGGUCUUCAUAGAGUUGCGCUAGGCCGCUAAUAAAAGAUGUCCCCGUCUGGUCGCAUUAUCAUUUUAAUUGCUUCGUUUUGUGCUGAACCUUUUUGCCAGAUCCUUAUCUCCGCGUCGGGACAAAUUAGCACCCCGACUGUGUGUUCGGUUGAAACCUGUUCGCUGGAAUCUGCAAAUUACCUUUUCUGCCGCCUCGAUAUAAAGGACGCCGGACAUUCGGAAUGGCGCGAGCGCGCCUUUUACGCCAGCGAUCUUGCGCCGAGUGUUGCAAGUACAAAUGAGCGAAUUUACGUCCCGAAGAGCUACGACUCUCACUUUCGAUGCAUGUUAAGGAAGAGUAGCACCGUGUUUUGCAAUUAGAAGCGUUAACCGUAUGCUACUAGAUCUUUGCAGGUUCUAUUGG